rnacentral:rRNA from 1 species
GACGGAGGGUGCAAGCGUUGUUCGGAAUCACUGGGCGUAAAGCGCGUGUAGGCGGUCUGGUAAGUCGAGUGUGAAAGCCCGAGGCUCAACCUCGGAAGUGCACUCGAAACUGUCAGGCUUGAGUACGGGAGAGGGAAGUGGAAUUCCUGGUGUAGAGGUGAAAUUCGUAGAUAUCAGGAGGAACACCGGUGGCGAAGGCGGCUUCCUGGACCGAUACUGACGCUGAGACGCGAAAGCGUGGGGAGCAAACAGG